rnacentral:tRNA from 1 species
AAGGUCUUAGCUUAAUUAAAGUAUUUGUUUUGCAUACAGAAGAUGCGGGGUAGUAUCCUGCAGAUCUUA